CCCUGACCAGAGAGGAAUAGCAGAUCCCAAGGGCCAGAACUUGAGUUCGUGCAAGCCUUGACAACCAUGGGCUAAGGUGCCCUGGGUCUCUAAAUUAGCUUGAAAGGAAGUUUAAGCCACAAGGAUUCUCAGCCACAGAAGGAUAAGGUACCAGUCAGAGCCAUAAGGCCCUCUUUCCAGACCCUAGAUCCUGGGCAUUUAUAGAUGCAACCUGAGCCAAAGGGAACCUUCUGUCUUGAAGGGAAGGACCUAGUCCUGGCAGCAUUCAUCACUUGCUAACCUAACAUACCUUGGGCCCUGAAUGCCAAGCAGUGAUACCCAGAUACUAUGUCAAGGGUUUGAGUAAGACCCUGAGACAUUCUGGCUUCAGGUGAGACCCAG
rnacentral:lncRNA from 10 species